GAUGAACGCUGGCGGUAUGCUUAACACAUGCAAGUCGAACGGACUCUUCGGAGUUAGUGGCGGACGGGUGAGUAACGCGUGAGAAUCUGGCUUUGGGUUCGGGACAACCACUGGAAACGGUGGCUAAUACCGGAUGGGCCGAGAGGUAAAAGAGAAAUUGCCUGAAGAUGAGCUCGCGUCUGAUUAGCUAGUUGGUGAGGUAAAGGCUCACCAAGGCAGCGAUCAGUAGCUGGUCUGAGAGGAUGACCAGCCACACUGGGACUGAGACACGGCCCAGACUCCUACGGGAGGCAGCAGUGGGGAAUUUUCCGCAAUGGGCGAAAGCCUGACGGAGCAAUACCGCGUGAGGGAAGAAGGCUCUUGGGGUGUAAACCUCUUUUCUUAGGGAAGAACAAAAUGACGGUACCUAAGGAAUCAGCAUCGGCUAACUCCGUG
rnacentral:rRNA from 1 species